rnacentral:scRNA from 1 species
GUGGCCUUCGGGCGGCGGCUGCAGCGUCUGGCCUCCGUACGCUGCAGCCGGCCCGGUUGGACCUAGAUUAGAAGCUGGCAGUUGCAGGUGUGAGCAUGCAAACAGCUGUCUGAUGCUCAUGUAUGAUACUGCGCACAAAA